AGUGAACGCUGGCGGUAGGCCUAACACAUGCAAGUCGAACGGCAGCACAGUAAGAGCUUGCUCUUACGGGUGGCGAGUGGCGGACGGGUGAGGAAUACAUCGGAAUCUACUUUUUCGUGGGGGAUAACGUAGGGAAACUUACGCUAAUACCGCAUCCGACCUACGGGUGAAAGCAGGGGAUCUUCGGACCUUUCGCGAUUGAAUGAGCCGAUGUCGGAUUAGCUAGUUGGCGGGGUAAAGGCCCACCAAGGCGACGAUCCGUAGCUGGUCUGAGAGGAUGAUCAGCCACACUGGAACUGAGACACGGUCCAGACUCCUACGGGAGGCAGCAGUGGGGAAUAUUGGACAAUGGGCGCAAGCCUGAUCCAGCCAUACCGCGUGGGUGAAGAAGGCCUUCGGGUUGUAAAGCCCUUUUGUUGGGAAAGAAAAGCAGCAGGUUAAUACCCCGCUGUUCUGACGGUACCCAAAGAAUAAGCACCGGCUAACUUCGUG
rnacentral:rRNA from 1 species